rnacentral:rRNA from 1 species
CCUACGGGAGGCAGCAGUGGGGAAUUUUGGACAAUGGGGGCAACCCUGAUCCAGCCAUUCCGCGUGAGUGAAGAAGGCCUUCGGGUUGUAAAGCUCUUUCGCAAGGGAAGAAAACUUAUGAUCGAAUAAAUCAUGAGGUUGACGGUACCUUGAUAAGAAGCACCGGCUAACUACGUGCCAGCAGCCGCGGUAAUACGUAGGGUGCGAGCGUUAAUCGGAAUUACUGGGCGUAAAGCGUGCGCAGGCGGUUUUGUAAGUCGGAUGUGAAAUCCCCGGGCUCAACCUGGGAACUGCGUUCGAAACUGCAAGGCUAGAGUGUGUCAGAGGGGGGUUAGAAUUCCACGUGUAGCAGUGAAAUGCGUAGAGAUGUGGAGGAAUACCAAUGGCGAAGGCAGCCCCCUGGGAUAACACUGACGCUCAUGCACGAAAGCGUGGGGAGCAAACAGGAUUAGAUACCCUGGUAGUCCACGCCCUAAACGAUGUCAACUAGUUGUUGGUAGAGUAAAACUCUAUGAGUAACCGUAGCUAACGCGUGAAGUUGACCGCCUGGGGGUAGGUACGGUCGCGAGAAGUUAAACGUUAAACGUUAAGUAAGUUAGUACGGUCGUGAGACGUAGCCGACGGACGACCGACGAGGGAGGUUAGGAG